UUUUAGUCGAUUGCCCUAGUUAGGCUUGGAAUUGGUGUUUGUGCUAGUUAUGAAAGUUGUAGAGCUUGAUGAGAGGAAGAUGCUGUUAAAAUUUCAUAGGUUUUGGAGGUCGCCGGAAUUGACCUCCGGCCGCCGCCGGUUGGGAGAUUUUAAUGUUGUUAAAUUUGGAAUAUUAAGGGGAGUUUAUUGAAGUGAGUUAUGGAAUUUUUGGAUGAGUUUUGGAUAGGUUUAUGAAUUUCCGAAGUUUGGUAUUUUUGGCGGUUAAUUAAUGUAGAAUCCGGCCGUAAGAUUUAAGUCGUAUUUUUUGGGAGGUUAUAUUUACGACUGCCGAGGAUGAUAUUUAAGUUCGGAUCGUUCCGAUUUAAGAAUAUCAAAGUUAGGCAAUGAUGAGCGUGUUUAUGGCUCUCGGGAAAUUUUGCCUAUUUUGAUUAAUUAUUGGAUUGUUAGUUGGGAAAUUAAUAUUAUUUCUGGAUCAGGUCGUGAGGAGGCUCGAGCUGACGAGGCCCCAGAUCGACAUCAGGCUUAGGCCUAAUUUGUGAGUGGACUUUUGUUUUAAAUAAUGUGCGUGCGAAAUAAUUUAUGUUGUUGGAGAAUAACCGAAAUUGAGAAUUUCGGUGAGUGUAUAUAUAAAUAUCCAUAUGUGGAUGAUUAUGAGAAUAAUAUGUAUAUGAGAGAAUGCUAGCUAGCUAUACGUGCUUUUCCACCAUACUGAGGUAAAAUUCCAUUAUGGUGCAACGUGAGCGUUAGACGCAAUCGUUGUAGCCCUAUAUAAAAUUAAUAAUUUAUAUAGGGGAUAUGCGCGUAUAUUUAUACACCAUCUUUUCCACCAUAAUGAGGUAAAAUGUCAUUAUGGUGCAACGUGAGCGUUAGAUGCAAGCGUUGUAGCCUUGUGUGAAUUUUCUAUUUGUUUUUGUUGUUUCAAGAAAAUUCAUACAAGGGAUAUGACGAGUGUAAUACAUACAUAUUUUAUUUUAGCCUGAGAGGCUGUAUUUUAUUGAGCGUCGGAGACUGGCCGGAGCCAGUCAUGAAAUUCCAGUUUUCGUGUUGAG
rnacentral:lncRNA from 1 species